AACGAACGCUGGCGGCAUGCCUAAUACAUGCAAGUCGAACGAGAUCUUCGGAUCUGGUGGUGCACGGUUGCGAAACGCGUGGUAAUCUGCCCUUGGGUUCGGAAUAACUUCUGAAAACGGAAGCUAAUACCGGAUGAUGCCGUAAGUCCAAAGAUUUAUCACCCAAGGAUGAGGCCGCGUAGGAUUAGCUAGUUGGUAGGGUAACGGCCCACCAAGGCGACGAUCCUUAGCUGGUCUGAGAGGAUGCUCAGCCACACUGGAGCUGAGACACGGCCGAGAAUCCUACGGGAGGCAGGAGUAGGGAAUAUUGGACUAUGGGCGGAGGCAUGAACGCGCACUGCCUCGUGAGUGAUGAAGGCCUUAGGGUAGUAAAGCUCUUUUACCCGGGAUGAUAAUGACGGUACCGGAAGAAUAAGCACCGGCUAACUCCGUG
rnacentral:rRNA from 1 species